UCGAACGGCAGCACGGGAGCUUGCUCCUGGUGGCGAGUGGCGAACGGGUGAGUAAAGCAUCGGAACGUACCUUGUCGAGGGGGAUAACGCAGCGAAAGUUGUGCUAAUACCGCAUACGUCCUGAGGGAGAAAGCGGGGGACCGCAAGGCCUCGCGCGAUGAGAGCGGCCGAUGUCAGAUUAGCUAGUUGGUGAGGUAAAGGCUCACCAAGGCGACGAUCUGUAGCGGGUCUGAGAGGAUGAUCCGCCACACUGGAACUGAGACACGGUCCAGACUCCUACGGGAGGCAGCAGUGGGGAAUUUUGGACAAUGGGCGCAAGCCUGAUCCAGCCAUGCCGCGUGAGUGAAGAAGGCCUUCGGGUUGUAAAGCUCUUUCAGACGGAAAGAAAUCGGGCGCGUGAAUAGCGUGCCUGGAUGACGGUACUGUCAGAAGAAGCACCGGCUAACUACGUGCCAGCAGCCGCGGUAAU
rnacentral:rRNA from 1 species